rnacentral:rRNA from 1 species
UUAGGGAGCCUGAGAGACGGCUACCACAUCUAAGGAAGGCAGCAGGCGCGCAAAUUACCCAAUUCUAACAGUUUGAGAGAGGUAGUAACAAGAAAUAACAAUACAAGGCAGUUAAAUUUUAUUUGUAAUUGGAACGAUACAAAUUUCCACCCUUUUUCAAGUAUCAAUUGGAGGGCAAGUCUGGUGCCAGCAGCCGCGGUAAUUCCAGCUCCAAUAGACGUAUAUUAAAAUUGUUGCAGUUAAAAAGCUUGUAGAUGAAGUUCUGCUAGUAACCGGUCUGCUUUUAAUAAAAGUGGUAUCUUGGUAUGUACUUAGCAAUGAUGUCCCUCGAAGUGUUUUUUACUUUAUUGUAACAAACGCAUAUUCUGGACUUUUACUUUGAGAAAAUUAGAGUGUCUAUGGCAGGAUAACGCUUUGAAUAAUGACACCCAAGGAAUAAUAAGACAGGAUUUUAGUUUUACAUUAG